CGAUCGGAUUAAUUUUUGAAA
rnacentral:piRNA from 1 species